GGAUGUGAGGGUGAUCUGGCUGCCACAUGUGUCACCGUAUUGAUCACCAGUGUUGAUUUGGCUGUCCUGGCUGGCUAGGUGUGUAUGCCCAUCCUCUCUCACCGCUCCUCCUGAAGCUGCAUGCUUAGCUGAAGAGAAAAACCUUCCUCCAUACAAGAGGACCAUUUUCUUCAGUCAAUGGUAUAUGAGUACCUGUGCUCCCCUGCUAAACCUCCAAACAAGCUCUCAAGGUCCAUUUGUAGGAGAACGGAAAAGUAGUCAAGCUUCCAAGAUUCUAGACACAUUCAAAUGAGGCAUUAAAUGUGUCAGUCUGCCUUUCAAA
rfam:Canis lupus familiaris chromosome 3, whole genome shotgun sequence.